rnacentral:rRNA from 1 species
AUUGAACGCUGGCGGCAGGCUUAACACAUGCAAGUCGAGCGAGCGGCGGACGGGUGAGUACUGUCUGGGAAACUGCCUGAUGGAGGGGGAUAACUACAGGAAACGGUAGCUAAUACCGCAUACCAUCAGAUGUGCCCCGGUGGGAUUAGCUAGUAGGUUGGGUAACGGCUCACACAGGCGACGAUCCCUAGCUUGUCUGGGAGGAGGACCAGCCACACUGGAACUGAGACACGGUCCAGACUCCUACGGGAGGCAGCAGUGGGGAAUAUUGCACAAUGGGCGAAAGCCUGAUGCAGCCAUGCCGCGUGUGUGAAGAAGGUCUUCGGGUUGUAAAGCACUUUCAGUGGGGAGGCGUUACCCGCAGAAGAAGCACCGGCUAACUCCGUGCCAGCAGCCGCGGUAAUAC